rnacentral:rRNA from 1 species
UACGGAGGAUGCAAGCGUUAUCCGGAAUUAUUGGGCGUAAAGCGUCCGCAGGCGGCUUAUCAAGUCUGCUGUUAAAGGUCGGGGCUUAACUCCGGAUAGGCAGUGGAAACUGAUAGGCUAGAGUGUGGUAGGGGUAGAGGGAAUUCCCAGUGUAGCGGUGAAAUGCGUAGAUAUUGGGAAGAACACCAGUGGCGAAGGCGCUCUACUGGGCCACAACUGACGCUGAGGGACGAAAGCUAGGGGAGCGAAAGGG